AAACCACCAAGAGGAGAGUGAAGAGCCUCGGGACUCUGGAAGGGGACAAGUGGAAGUGGCCCAGCUGAGCCUGGAGCCCUCUACCACCGAGCGGCAGGAGGGAAAAGCUGGGAGUGACCUGUCCUGGAGCCCCAGAACACCAUCCGACAGGAAGAGGAAAUUCUCACAAGUUUAUACAGACACAAUGGACUCCGGCUCCGUUUUUGAUAGCGAUGAAGAGGAAGAGGAAUUUGAAACACCAAAGAGGAUCCUCUUAGACAGGGAUGUAACACUCCCAGACAUCCCCCUGCCGCCCAUCCAGGCCAGCUGGGACCCUCUUCCAGCUCCAGAGUCCCAGACCUCUGAGAAGAUCAGGAGAGGUACGUUGGGCAGGCAAAUUGGUCUGAAAUGGGCUGCAGCCACUCUUUGUGGGAGAGACUGGAUGAGGCUGGCUUCAAGUCUUUCUCUUGGGGGCUGGUGUCCCGCCUCGGGAUGCCCACAGCCCGGCUUUCAGCCAAGUGGUGGCUUCUCUCCCACCUGCUCUCACAGAAAUGAGGAAGAGCCUUGGCUUGGGCUUUGGCCUUGCCCUUCCUCAGUCUUUCCCUUUGGCCUCCUACAGCUCAAGCAAACCACACUCUGCCUCUGGAGUCCCCGCCAAGGGCCCCUCAGGAGGAAGACUGGACCCAGGAGAAUUGGGGGACUGGAGGAGCUCUGCUGCCAGACAACAUCAACAUAA
rnacentral:lncRNA from 1 species